rnacentral:rRNA from 1 species
UACGGAGGAUGCGAGCGUUAUCCGGAAUUAUUGGGCGUAAAGAGCGCGCAGGUGGUUAAUUAAGUCUGAUGUGAAAGCCCACGGCUUAACCGUGGAGGGUCAUUGGAAACUGGUUGACUUGAGUGCAGAAGAGGGAAGUGGAAUUCCAUGUGUAGCGGUGAAAUGCUUAGAGAUCAUACAGAACACCGAUUGCGAAGGCAGCUUACCAAGCUACUUCUGACGUUGAGGCACGAAAGCGUGGGGAGCAAACAGG